UAGAGGAAGUAAAAGUCGUAACAAGGUUUCCGUAGGUGAACCUGCGGAAGGAUCAUUAAAUAAUCAAUAAUUUUGGCUUGUCCAUUAUUAUCUAUUUACUGUGAACUGUAUUAUUACUUGACGCUUGAGGGAUGCUCCACUGCUAUAAGGAUAGGCGGUGGGGAUGUUAACCGAGUCAUAGUCAAGCUUAGGCUUGGUAUCCUAUUAUUAUUUACCAAAAGAAUUCAGAAUUAAUAUUGUAACAUAGACCUAAAAAAUCUAUAAAACAACUUUUAACAACGGAUCUCUUGGUUCUCGCAUCGAUGAAGAACGUAGCAAAGUGCGAUAACUAGUGUGAAUUGCAUAUUCAGUGAAUCAUCGAGUCUUUGAACGCAACUUGCGCUCAUUGGUAUUCCAAUGAGCACGCCUGUUUCAGUAUCAAAACAAACCCUCUAUUCAAUAUUUUUGUUGAAUAGGAAUACUGAGAGUCUCUUGAUCUUUUCUGAUCUCGAACCUCUUGAAAUGUACAAAGGCCUGAUCUUGUUUGAAUGCCUGAACUUUUUUUUAAUAUAAAGAGAAGCUCUUGCGGUAAACUGUGCUGGGGCCUCCCAAAUAAUACUCUUUUUAAAUUUGAUCUGAAAUCAGGCGGGAUUACCCGCUGAACUUAAGCAUA
rnacentral:rRNA from 1 species